rnacentral:rRNA from 1 species
GAUGAACGCUGGCGGCGUGCCUAACACAUGCAAGUCGAGCGGAGAUUACGGACGGAAGUUUUCGGAUGGAAGACUGUAAUUCUUAGUGGCGGACGGGUGAGUAACGCGUGGGCAACCUGCCCUAUACAGGGGGAUAGCAGCUGGAAACGGCUGGUAAGACCGCAUAAGUCGGCGAGACCGCAUGGUUUUGCCGGGAAAUGAGCAAUCAGGUAUAGGAUGGGCCCGCGUCCGAUUAGCCAGUUGGCAGGGUAAAAGCCUACCAAAGCAACGAUCGGUAGCCGGACUGAGAGGUCGGACGGCCACAGUGGGACUGAGACACGGCCCAAACUCCUACGGGAGGCAGCAGUGGGGGAUAUUGCACAAUGGAGGAAACUCUGAUGCAGCGACGCCGCGUGAGUGAAGAAGUAUUUCGGUAUGUAAAGCUCUAUCAGCAGGGAAGAUGAUGACGGUACCUGACUAAGAAGCCCCGGCUAACUACGUG